UUUAGCAGAGAUGCUUUAGUGCCUUCGGGAACUCUGAGACAGGUGCUGCAUGGCUGUCGUCAGCUCGUGUUGUGAAAUGUUGGGUUAAGUCCCGNAACGAGCGCAACCCUUAUCCUUUGUUGCCAGCACGUAAUGGUGGGAAACUCAAAGGAGACUGCCGGUGAUAAACCGGAGGAAGGUGGGGAUGACGUCAAGUCAUCAUGGCCCUUACGAGUAGGGCUACACACGUGCUACAAUGGCGCAUACAAAGAGAAGCGACCUCGCGAGAGCAAGCGGACCUCAUAAAGUGCGUCGUAGUCCGGAUUGGAGUCUGCAACUCGACUCCAUGAAGUCGGAAUCGCUAGUAAUCGUAAAUCAGAAUGUUACGGUGAAUACGUUCCCGGGCCUUGUACACACCGCCCGUCACACCAUGGGAGUGGGUUGCAAAAGAAGUAGAUAGCUUAACCUUCGGGAGGGCGUUUACCACUUUGUGAUUCAUGACUGGGGUGAAGUCGUAACAAGGUAGGCGUAGUGCU
rnacentral:rRNA from 1 species